rnacentral:lncRNA from 1 species
CGCAUUAAACCCCUCCCACACACAACCCCCAAAGCCCUCCCCUUCCAACAGACUCUACAAUACUACAGUACUGCCCCCCACUCUCCAUUAAACCCCCCAACAGCAGCAGCACCACCACCGCCAUGAUUCCUCCUCCGUAAAAAUGGUUCCCGCCGCGUCCCCAUCCCCUUCCCCUGCACCCUCCCCCACCCCAACAUUCUCCACCCCCUCACAAACCCCAACGACACUCUCCUCCAUGCAUCAUCCUCAUCAUAUCCGCCGUCCAAGCUCCCCAUCGACUUCUCCCCGCCGCUCAUCGCCAUGGUCGUCGUCGUCGCCACCGCUUUCUUAAUCGUCACCUACUCCCGUCUCAUCUCCCGCCACGUCAUCCCCCCGAUCAUCCGAUUCUCCCGCCACUGUCGCCGCCGUCGCCGCCGCUCCUACCUCCCCUCCUCCAUCGGCGACCUCGACUCCCCGCCCUACGACUCGUCGUUCGACCCCACGGACGGCUUCCAUGUCUUCUCCCCAUACGGCCUCGACGAGUCGGUGAUCAAGACCAUACCGCUGUCGCUAUACACCGCCAAGACCGGCCUCCGGAGCAAGGACUGCGCCGUCUGCUUGAUCGAGUUCGAAGACGACGAGUACGUCCGGACGCUUCCGGUUUGUUCCCACGCCUUUCACGUCGACUGCAUCGACAUGUGGCUCAGGUCCCACGCCAACUGUCCGCUCUGCCGCGCCGGAAUAUUCCGUCCCGAGUCUCCCUUCAUUCCCUUAAUGGCCGCCAGAAUCCGGCCGAGCCUCGACGACGCGCUCCUUCGCAGCAUGGCUCUCGAGCCUCUCGCGGAAACUCCGCCGCGAGAGACGGAGUCCACGGCGGAGAUAACUCCCUGCGCGGAGGAGCAGUCGCCGCGGAGGACGUUCAAUUACUGGGAGGACCGAAUCAACGGCGGAGAUUUCGUCCUCAAGCGGUCGUACUCGUUCGGAUUCGAGCGGAGCUCCGCUUCGGAGCGGAUGAUGGUGACGGAGCCGACGACGGCGUCGCCGUGGCGUUACCGGAGAGGCGGAAGCUUCUGGAGCAAGAGGCCGUCGCCGUUCGGAUCGCUGACGAAGCCCCGGGUCUUCUCGUUCCGGUCCCACCGAGGCAUGAACAUGAAGUCGCCUUUCUUCCGGCGAAAAGGCUUCUUCCCGCUGUCGGAGUCAAGCGCGAGAUUCUCCACCGGCGGCGGCUCUUCCCGGCGGACGAAGUCGAUGACGAGCCCAAUGUUCAUGAGGUCGUCGGCGUUGACCGCGGCGGCGUUCUCGUCAAGCCGGCUCCGGUGCGGCGACCCCGAGGCGCUGUUGUCGCCGGAGAGGUUUAACAGAAGAUAGGAGGUAAAGAACGUGCGUUACAUCAGAGAGCGCAAUUAAAAUUUCGGAAGGGACACGUGGAGGGAGGAGAUGGAGGGAAGGCGGAGUAAAACGGACG